ACAAUGCAUCCAUGGAUAGAUGCCUCAAAUAGGCUAUACUGGUUAAUGUCUCCAACCUGCAGUGAAGAAUACAAUGGUAUGUAGGCGAAGCAAACAUGCCAGCCAUAUGUUCUAGACGCUGUGCCCACUUUACAUUCUUUCUCUAUCACUUUAAGGUCUUUCAAAUUAUCAUUGCAUAUCAAUUUGGCAUUGAUGAAAGCAUAGUCAUACUUCCCAGAUAGCCUUGAAUCAGGACUGCAGACACCUGCUCCCAUGAGAGUCACACAACAUAUAGCAAAGCCCUUGAACUUAUCAUUAUACCAAUUAAUGGGCAGUUUGAACAAGAUCUUUUCCUCAACACUCCGAUGCAUAAACCAUGUGGGAAUUGCACGUUCAGGAAAGACAAUGGAACA